rnacentral:sRNA from 1 species
GCCAGGCGUGGUGGCUCACGCCUGUAAUCCCAGCACUUUGGGAGGCUGAGGCGGGCAGAUCACCUGAGGUCAGGAGUUCGAGACCAGCCUGACCAACAUGGAGAAACCCCAUCUCUACUAAAAAUACAAAAUUAGCCGGGUAUGGUGGCACAUGCCUGUAAUCCCAGCACUUUGGGAGGCUGAGGUGGGCAGAUCACCUGAGGUCAGGAGUUCGAGACCAGCCUGACCAACAUGGAGAAACCCCACCUCU